GGAGCAGAAGGGUAUCUGGUGAGCCCCACGGUCUUCAAAACCGCUGAGGGACGGUGGACCCGUCCUGGUGAGUUCGAUUCUCACCUGCUCUCGCCA
rnacentral:tRNA from 1 species